rnacentral:rRNA from 1 species
GGUUAAGCGACUAAGCGUACACGGUGGAUGCCCNGGCAGUCAGAGGCGAUGAAGGACGUGCUAAUCUGCGAUAAGCGUCGGUAAGGUGAUAUGAACCGUUAUAACCGGCGAUUUCCGAAUGGGGAAACCCAGUGUGUUUCGACACACUAUCAUUAACUGAAUCCAUAGGUUAAUGAGGCGAACCGGGGGAACUGAAACAUCUAAGUACCCCGAGGAAAAGAAAUCAACCGAGAUUCCCCCAGUAGCGGCGAGCGAACGGGGAGCAGCCCAGAGCCUGAAUCAGUGUGUGUGUUAGUGGAAGCGUCUGGAAAGGCGCGCGAUACAGGGUGACAGCCCCGUACACAAAAAUGCACAUGCUGUGAGCUCGAUGAGUAGGGCGGGACACGUGGUAUCCUGUCUGAAUAUGGGGGGACCAUCCUCCAAGGCUAAAUACUCCUGACUGACCGAUAGUGAACCAGUACCGUGAGGGAAAGGCGAAAAGAACCCCGGCGAGGGGAGUGAAAAAGAACCUGAAACCGUGUACGUACAAGCAGUGGGAGCACGCUUAGGCGUGUGACUGCGUACCUUUUGUAUAAUGGGUCAGCGACUUAUAUUCUGUAGCAAGGUUAACCGAAUAGGGGAGCCGAAGGGAAACCGAGUCUUAACUGGGCGUUAAGUUGCAGGGUAUAGACCCGAAACCCGGUGAUCUAGCCAUGGGCAGGUUGAAGGUUGGGUAACACUAACUGGAGGACCGAACCGACUAAUGUUGAAAAAUUAGCGGAUGACUUGUGGCUGGGGGUGAAAGGCCAAUCAAACCGGGAGAUAGCUGGUUCUCCCCGAAAGCUAUUUAGGUAGCGCCUCGUGAAUUCAUCUCCGGGGGUAGAGCACUGUUUCGGCAAGGGGGUCAUCCCGACUUACCAACCCGAUGCAAACUGCGAAUACCGGAGAAUGUUAUCACGGGAGACACACGGCGGGUGCUAACGUCCGUCGUGAAGAGGGAAACAACCCAGACCGCCAGCUAAGGUCCCAAAGUCAUGGUUAAGUGGGAAACGAUGUGGGAAGGCCCAGACAGCCAGGAUGUUGGCUUAGAAGCAGCCAUCAUUUAAAGAAAGCGUAAUAGCUCACUGGUCGAGUCGGCCUGCGCGGAAGAUGUAACGGGGCUAAACCAUGCACCGAAGCUGCGGCAGCGACGCUUAUGCGUUGUUGGGUAGGGGAGCGUUCUGUAAGCCUGUGAAGGUGUGCUGUGAGGCAUGCUGGAGGUAUCAGAAGUGCGAAUGCUGACAUAAGUAACGAUAAAGCGGGUGAAAAGCCCGCUCGCCGGAAGACCAAGGGUUCCUGUCCAACGUUAAUCGGGGCAGGGUGAGUCGACCCCUAAGGCGAGGCCGAAAGGCGUAGUCGAUGGGAAACAGGUUAAUAUUCCUGUACUUGGUGUUACUGCGAAGGGGGGACGGAGAAGGCUAUGUUGGCCGGGCGACGGUUGUCCCGGUUUAAGCGUGUAGGCUGGUUUUCCAGGCAAAUCCGGAAAAUCAAGGCUGAGGCGUGAUGACGAGGCACUACGGUGCUGAAGCAACAAAUGCCCUGCUUCCAGGAAAAGCCUCUAAGCAUCAGGUAACAUCAAAUCGUACCCCAAACCGACACAGGUGGUCAGGUAGAGAAUACCAAGGCGCUUGAGAGAACUCGGGUGAAGGAACUAGGCAAAAUGGUGCCGUAACUUCGGGAGAAGGCACGCUGAUAUGUAGGUGAAGUCCCUCGCGGAUGGAGCUGAAAUCAGUCGAAGAUACCAGCUGGCUGCAACUGUUUAUUAAAAACACAGCACUGUGCAAACACGAAAGUGGACGUAUACGGUGUGACGCCUGCCCGGUGCCGGAAGGUUAAUUGAUGGGGUUAGCGGUAACGCGAAGCUCUUGAUCGAAGCCCCGGUAAACGGCGGCCGUAACUAUAACGGUCCUAAGGUAGCGAAAUUCCUUGUCGGGUAAGUUCCGACCUGCACGAAUGGCGUAAUGAUGGCCAGGCUGUCUCCACCCGAGACUCAGUGAAAUUGAACUCGCUGUGAAGAUGCAGUGUACCCGCGGCAAGACGGAAAGACCCCGUGAACCUUUACUAUAGCUUGACACUGAACAUUGAGCCUUGAUGUGUAGGAUAGGUGGGAGGCUUAGAAGUGUGGACGCCAGUCUGCAUGGAGCCGACCUUGAAAUACCACCCUUUAAUGUUUGAUGUUCUAACGUUGACCCGUAAUCCGGGUUGCGGACAGUGUCUGGUGGGUAGUUUGACUGGGGCGGUCUCCUCCUAAAGAGUAACGGAGGAGCACGAAGGUUGGCUAAUCCUGGUCGGACAUCAGGAGGUUAGUGCAAUGGCAUAAGCCAGCUUGACUGCGAGCGUGACGGCGCGAGCAGGUGCGAAAGCAGGUCAUAGUGAUCCGGUGGUUCUGAAUGGAAGGGCCAUCGCUCAACGGAUAAAAGGUACUCCGGGGAUAACAGGCUGAUACCGCCCAAGAGUUCAUAUCGACGGCGGUGUUUGGCACCUCGAUGUCGGCUCAUCACAUCCUGGGGCUGAAGUAGGUCCCAAGGGUAUGGCUGUUCGCCAUUUAAAGUGGUACGCGAGCUGGGUUUAGAACGUCGUGAGACAGUUCGGUCCCUAUCUGCCGUGGGCGCUGGAGAACUGAGGGGGGCUGCUCCUAGUACGAGAGGACCGGAGUGGACGCAUCACUGGUGUUCGGGUUGUCAUGCCAAUGGCACUGCCCGGUAGCUAAAUGCGGAAGAGAUAAGUGCUGAAAGCAUCUAAGCACGAAACUUGCCCCGAGAUGAGUUCUCCCUGACUCCUUGAGAGUCCUGAAGGAACGUUGAAGACGACGACGUUGAUAGGCCGGGUGUGUAAGCGCAGCGAUGCGUUGAGCUAACCGGUACUAAUGAACCGUGAGGCUUAACCUU